rnacentral:lncRNA from 1 species
UUAUAUCUUGAAGACAUUUUAUCUUAAGGGUAAUAGGAAGAAUGGCUUAUAAUUAAAUAUAUUAGUCCACCAUUUCAUUUACAAAUCACAACUCUCUUUCUCUUUUCUUUGUGCUUACGGCCGAGAGCCAAAUCACAACCACCCACCCACUUUCAAAUCCCAUAUUAAUAAACCACAUACACUCAAGUGUGUAAGGUCGCAUACAAGGAAGCCUGGUGCUUGCGGAUUGCCAAGGACCUCUCUACGACGCUAUUAACCACCCAUUUUUCGUCUAGUUUCUUCCCUAGCCUCGAGCUAGUAGUUACGACGUUAAUUAAGCAAACCCGGUGAAGUUUACGACGCACAGGAACGCAAAGUUGUAACUAGGAUGGAUGUGCGCGUGGUCUCACUUAUGCUCGUGGAUGUCGCUUGUGUUUGUCUUUAAAUAAAGUGUAAACCUUUUAAGACAAUGUUUUAUGUUAACUCGCGAUGUAAACGCUAACUUAUGAUUUCAAAUUAUGGUAUUUGAAGUUAUUUUCAUGAGCAUGUAGUAUGUUUACCUUUCGUAUGCAAUGAGAACCUUUCAUGAUCACACCUCGUGCUUCCGCCGCAGAAAGGGACGUACGGAACAAGAUAGUUGA